GCUUAUUGUGCAUCACCGGCCUCUACAACACCUGUCUGCAUAACACAUGCUGCUACAAGAGUUGGCAUUGCACCCCAGCAAACCAUUAAUUGUCUUAGAAAUAAUAAAAGGGCAUUUGAAGCAUUUUCAUUAAGGAAGAAACUAUGACAGGGAAUAUGCAAAUUAUUUCUGCAACAAAUUUGCAUAAAAUUGUUAUUGCAUGACUCAACGCAAGGUGCUGUAGCAACUAAAGAAAGUUAAUAUAAACAAAGCUGCGAGGCUUGAUG